UGACUGCUCUUGUGGCCUAGUGGCUAUAGCGUACGCCUCUGAUGCUGGAGGUUGUGGGUUCGAUCCCCGGCCGAGUCAA